AUCACCGUCAUUAUGAGUGAUAAAUUGAGAGCGCAACCCUCACAACCUCAAACCUGACAAGAAGCUAAAGAAGUUACAUCGACCUGUUUAGAAGUGAAAAUUCAAGAGAUGAGUAGCCAGAUAUUGCUUUUUGAUGGGGAAGGAUAUAGCGGAACAGAAGCGCCUCUUACCGCGGACAGCCCGGACCUAACUAAAGCUCCAACAAACCUUACCAAAGGGGCGUCCUCCGUGAAGAUCGGAGAUGAUCAAAGCCAGUGGCAGGCGUUCUCAAACACCGGCUACCAAGGAACUCCCGUCUAUUUGCAACCUGGGAAUUCUUAUCCAAGCCUGAAAAGUAUGGAGCUUACUAGCCCCAUCAAGAGCAUGCGUGCUUCACCUUCACACUGAAGCAAUUCAGAAGAAGACAGAGUGGAAGUGAUUGAAGCAAUCUAGCUAUAGUUAAGAAGUUAAAGUUAAGUUAAAUUCAAGGUUGCAAUUUUGUGCUUGACAUAAGCUAAGCUGUCCACGGUCUAAUAAAGGAAUGUCAUUCCCCAA